rnacentral:rRNA from 1 species
GACGAACGCUGGCGGCGUGCUUAACACAUGCAAGUCGAACGAAGUGGCGAACGGGUGAGUAACGCGUAAUCAACCUGCCCUUCAGAGGGGGACAACAGUUGGAAACGACUGCUAAUACCGCAUACUGAAGGAGGGGAUUGCGUCUGAUUAGCUAGUUGGAGGGGUAACGGCCCACCAAGGCGAUGAUGGGUAGCCUGCCGGGGAUGGUGAUCGGCCCAAAGGGGAAUGAGACACGGCCCUGAGGCCUACGUGAGGCAGGAGGGGGGAAUGUGGGAGAAUGGACCAAAGUCGGAGCCAGCAAUUCUGUGUGAACGAUGAAGUUUUUCGGAAUGAAGAGUGCUUUCAGUUUGGAAGCGGUACCAACAGAAGAAGCGACGGCUAAAUACGUGCCAGCAGCCGCGGUAAUUC